AUCCACCUGACGAGUUCCAAAUAGGACGAAAUGCGCAUCCUGGAU
rnacentral:hammerhead_ribozyme from 1 species